GUGGUUGAUAUUCUCGAAAACCUGACCCUAGGCAACAGUGACUAAGGUCUGGUUUCAGUGACGGACUCUUUUGUCAACUCUGAUGAGGACAAAAAAUAAUAUUCAGGAGUGGGUCCUCUUCAGACACUACCCCAACAAAUCAUGAGGCAGACAUGCCAGAACGUCGCGAUUCGAAACCAAAGUGGUGGUUUUAGUGAAGUGCAGUUCAAGAAGAGUUAAGAAAAGGUGAUUGUCCGUGACUGAUGACCUAUCACAGUGAAAUAGUCAUAUCUAGAGACAUGUGGCAUCAAAGGUGAGCUAAGGUUACAGUCUCUACAUCACUAUGCUUCCUGCUGACUGGACUCUUCAGAGAUGAGUAUGAACCUGGACCGCGUCCCAAAUGGCAUCCAAUCUCUACAUAGUGCACUACUUUUGUCAUAUGCGCUGAAUACAACAGCCAUGAAUUUCCUGAUUGGAUGAAGCGAGAGCCACGCCUGUGGUGUUGACCAAUUACAGAGAAUGUGUGGUGUCAUGUGAGAUGGAGUUGAUCUGGAUGUGCAGCCAUGUUUGGAAUGGCUCUGAACUGCAGGUGAGAGAGAUUCUGUAAACAUCUGCUACUAACCAAAUGAUUGUGUGUGGGUGGGUUUGCUUGUUUGUGUGUGGUGUGUUUGCUUACAAGUGAAUGAAAUGUCACAUCAUGUUGUAAUGAUGCUUUUCCUCUACUGAAAUG
rnacentral:lncRNA from 1 species